rnacentral:rRNA from 1 species
AGCAGCCGCGGUAAUUCCAGCUCCAAUAGCGUAUAUUAAAGUUGUUGCAGUUAAAAAGCUCGUAGUUGAAUUUCGGGGUCAGUAGGUCGGUCGUGCCACUGGUAUGAACUGGUUUUACUGAUUCCUCCCUCUUGAAGAACUGUAAUGCCAUUAAUUUGGUGUUGCAGGGAAUCAGGACUGUUACUUUGAAAAAUUAGAGUGUUUAAAGCAGGCUUUAGCUUGAAUACAUUAGCAUGGAAUAAUGAAAUAGGACGUUUGAUCCUAUUUUGUUGGUUUCUAGGAUUGACGUAAUGAUUAAUAGGGAUAGUUGGGGGCAUUAGUAUUCAAUUGUCAGAGGUGAAAUUCUUGGAUUUAUUGAAGACUAACUACUGCGAAAGCAUUUGCCAAGGAUGUUUUCAUUAAUCAAGAACGAAAGUUAGGGGAUCGAAGACGAUCAGAUACCGUCGUAGUCUUAACCAUAAACUAUGCCGACUAGGGAUCGGAUGAUGUUAAUUUUUUAAUGACUCAUUCGGCGCCUUAA